rnacentral:lncRNA from 1 species
GUGACUGUGAAACAGAAGCAGUGCAAGAUCAUCUACAUUGUGAGAAAUCCGAAGGAUACAGCGGUGUCCAUGUUCCAUUAUUACAGGGACAACCCUAACCUCCCUUCCACAGAAACAUGGGCUGCGUUUCUAGAGCUGUUCCUCAAAGGAGACGUUGUGUAUGGCUCCUGGUUUGAUCAUGUUUUGAGCUGGGAAGAACACAAAAAUGAUAAGAACGUCCUCUUCCUCUUCUACGAAGAAAUGAAAAAGGAUUUUGUUAAGAGCCUAAA